GACCCCAGGACUUAUUCUUUGUAAGGCUAGUAAUUAUUGUAUCAGUCUCUUUUACCGAACUGCUAAGUUAUGGGGCACGUAAACACACUUGCAUCGAUUGUCAUGCGAUGUUGUGGGGGACAAACACAGACA